rnacentral:rRNA from 1 species
GGGUUGUGAGGUUAAGCGACUAAGCGUACACGGUGGAUGCCCUGGCAGUCAGAGGCGAUGAAGGACGUGCUAAUCUGCGAUAAGCGUCGGUAAGGUGAUAUGAACCGUUAUAACCGGCGAUUUCCGAAUGGGGAAACCCAGUGUGAUUCGUCACACUAUCAUUAACUGAAUCCAUAGGUUAAUGAGGCGAACCGGGGGAACUGAAACAUCUAAGUACCCCGAGGAAAAGAAAUCAACCGAGAUUCCCCCAGUAGCGGCGAGCGAACGGGGAGCAGCCCAGAGCCUGAAUCAGUGUGUGUGUUAGUGGAAGCGUCUGGAAAGGCGUGCGAUACAGGGUGACAGCCCCGUACACAAAAAUGCACAUGCUGUGAGCUCGAUGAGUAGGGCGGGACACGUGGUAUCCUGUCUGAAUAUGGGGGGACCAUCCUCCAAGGCUAAAUACUCCUGACUGACCGAUAGUGAACCAGUACCGUGAGGGAAAGGCGAAAAGAACCCCGGCGAGGGGAGUGAAAAAGAACCUGAAACCGUGUACGUACAAGCAGUGGGAGCACGCUUAGGCGUGUGACUGCGUACCUUUUGUAUAAUGGGUCAGCGACUUAUAUUCUGUAGCAAGGUUAACCGAAUAGGGGAGCCGAAGGGAAACCGAGUCUUAACUGGGCGUUAAGUUGCAGGGUAUAGACCCGAAACCCGGUGAUCUAGCCAUGGGCAGGUUGAAGGUUGGGUAACACUAACUGGAGGACCGAACCGACUAAUGUUGAAAAAUUAGCGGAUGACUUGUGGCUGGGGGUGAAAGGCCAAUCAAACCGGGAGAUAGCUGGUUCUCCCCGAAAGCUAUUUAGGUAGCGCCUCGUGAAUUCAUCUCCGGGGGUAGAGCACUGUUUCGGCAAGGGGGUCAUCCCGACUUACCAACCCGAUGCAAACUGCGAAUACCGGAGAAUGUUAUCACGGGAGACACACGGCGGGUGCUAACGUCCGUCGUGAAGAGGGAAACAACCCAGACCGCCAGCUAAGGUCCCAAAGUCAUGGUUAAGUGGGAAACG